GUUUGAUCCUGGCUCAGAACGAACGCUGGCGGCGUGCCUAACACAUGCAAGUUGAGCGCGAAAGGGAGCAAUCCCCCGGUAGAGCAGCGCACGGGUGAGUAACACGUGAGUAAUCUUCCUUCGUGUCAGGAAUAACCACUGGAAACGGUGGCUAAUACUCGAUAAGCCCACAAUCCCCUCGGGGAAUGAGGGAAAAGGGGGCGCAAGCCUCUCGCACGAAGAUGAGCUCGCGGUCCAUUAGCUAGUUGGCGGGGUAAUGGCCCACCAAGGCGAUGGAUGGAUAGCUGGUCUGAGAGGACGAUCAGCCACACUGGGACUGAGACACGGCCCAGACUCCUACGGGAGGCAGCAGUGGGAAUCUUGCGCAAUGGACGAAAGUCUGACGCAGCAACGCCGCGUGAGUGAUGAAGGUCUUUGGAUCGUAAAGCUCUUUCGGGAGGGAAGAAAGUGGUUAGUGCGCUAAGUACCGCAUAGCCUUGACGGUACCUUC
rnacentral:rRNA from 1 species